GGGUCAGUAGGUUGGUCGUGCCACCGGUACGUACUGGUCUCACUGAUUCCUCCUUCCUGAAGAGCCGUAAUGCCAUUAAUUUGGUGUUGCGGGGAAACAGGACUGUUACUUUGAAAAAAUUAGAGUGUUUAAAGCAAGCUAACGCUUGAAUACAUUAGCAUGGUAUAAUGAAAUAGGACGAUCGAUCCUAUUUUAUUGGUUUCUAGGAUUGACGUA
rnacentral:rRNA from 1 species